AUUGACAGCUGCCGUGUUGCGGGUUUUAGGAGCCAUGAACAGCACUGGAGCUUAUCGUCUUGUUCUUCCUCUGGGCCUGCUUUUGUUGGCCCUUUGUUCCACAGGACUUGCUCUGAGUUGUUACAAGUGCAAUGGCUGGAGUAAA